UACAAGCCGAGAAAGUUCUAUCCUUGCAGGACGUAUAAUUUCCCUUUUCUCUUCUUCUCCCCUUAACGUGAGCCGAUUCGCUAACCUGCACCAUGAGCUUACUUGACAAGCUCUGGGACGACACCGUUGCCGGUCCCCGGCCAGAUAGUGGCCUCGGGAAGCUCCGGAAGUAUUCUACUUUUAGUCAGCGUUCAAAUUCCGGCAAGGAAUCAGAAGUUUCAACACCGAGAUCCUUUACUGAGGAAGCAAGUGAGGACGCGGUGAAGGUGACGAGAAGUAUCAUGAUCGUAAAGCCUUCCGGGAGUCAGAAUAGAGAUUCACCUCCCGUUUCUCCGGCCGGUACUACUCCUCCGGUAUCUCCUUUUUCUGGUUCUUCUGGAAGAGAAGCAUUUCGGUUCCGUCGGCGAUCAGCGUCAUUUGCAUACGAGAAUGCCAGUGGGGUUGGACCCAGAAGCCCUCGUCCUCCUUACGACCUGUGAGAUAUAGUCGGGUUCUCCUUUUUUGUUUUCCUUCUUGAGGCGGCUGAAUGUAGUAUAGCUUAGUCGACAUUACUCAACAUGUUCCUCGUUGAGAAUGUUGUUUUGUGUGGACUUGUGGCAAGUGGUGUUUUGUUUGCUUAAUUUUGUAUAUAGUGCAAGUGGUUCUUCAUCUUGCCGAUGUUGUGACGAAGGUUUAGCACAAGAUGUAAACGUCCAAGUUCGUCAUGUAUUCUGCUUUGUAUUACGAGUUUUCCCUUAUAAUGUUAUUUUGAUUUUUGCGUCUCUUAAACGUUUUUUAUUAUAUUGGAGUUUGACUAAAUCUAGAUCUUCAUUGCAAGUCUUUAUCUUCUGUAUAAGUCCUUCCUAAUAAAAGUGAUGUUUG
rnacentral:misc_RNA from 1 species